AGACCUUUUCUAUUUACGGUUCCGUUUCCGUCUUUUCUUUUUCUGUCCUUCCACACCGUUACAAGAGUUCCUCAUAUGGACCUUCAUAGGAUCUAGUGCCGUACGAAACCAUUAUAGAAGUUGGUGUGCUCGAGCACAGCGACCCAGUUCCAACUCCACUGGGUGCAACUAGUGGCCGUAACCGCCGCCCACCUCCAACAGCCUCCCCUCGACGAGGACUCCCUGUCAGGAACUCAGUAGUCUGUACAACUGAAUCAUGACAUGUUCCUCGUCUCAGGUUAGAGUCAUAGAAAUGCGUCUUUGCUUUGCCCUACUUCACAAGGAGGUACCACGCCGUAGAUGAAUAUCCGUCGAAGUAAGGUCACAGACGAGCAAGGUUUAUUCUCCAGUUCGGUAAGUACAGGUACGUACGUACGUGAACCGUUAUAUAUAUUAAUAGCCAGGUCCCCUUCGAGGAUGCGCCCCGGAUGCAGCCGUUGACCUUCUCGGGCUGUUUUACACUUAUAAGUAAAUACAGCGGACACACGGCGGCGUAUCGUUUAACCCUCAUAGAAUUAUGGCGCGAGGCCCGGUGAGUAAGUGAGAAAGCAGUGUAUACGAGGUAACAGGACCAUACGUUGACCAACAACAAAUCCUGUGUUAAUACUUCAAUAGAGAACCGGAUGUAUAUGAAGAAGCAGGACCAUACGUUGACCAAAAACAAAUCCUGCGUUAAUACUUCAAUAGAGACCCUGUGUUGAACAAAGACGGUUACAAAGACCACGACAGGUCCCACAACGAAGUACCUCUUCCGACCUAAGGGAGUAACCUUUGAAGCCGAUGGGGGACGUCACAGUCGUUUAACCCUCAUAGAAUUAGGAUGCAAGGUACGGGGGAUGAAGAAACAAGGACAAUACGUUGACCACAAACAAAUCCUCUGUGUCGUUAUUAUUUUUAUAGAAUGACUACGUUGAACAAAGACGGGUAAAAAAGGUACGACAGGAUAGGUCACCCACUAGUACUUCCGACCUUAGGGCCUGCGUCGGACCCCGAUGAGCAAUUUUGGGAAACCUACCAGGGGUUUUUUCAAGUUAGAACAGCCAAGGGUGUCCUGCUGCGGAGAGUACAGGACAGUGGACUAAAAGUAGGGCGAAUGCGCACGCCACGUUGACCCUAAAAGAAUCCACGUCGCCGCUACUACAACAUACCGGACUGGUCCUCCCCGAGUACCUCUGACACCUCACGACGACCUUCGACGACGACGACUAGACUUACCUUCGAACCGAAUCAAUUAACCACGUCAACGUCAGCCGCUUUUCCCGAUAAAAACCACCAAGAGCAUCCGACGGUACAAUAUAUGAAAACACCAUCGUCUAUCGAACCGGUCUCUCCCACCUGCGCCUACUCGGCGCAGCAACGAACCAAAACCUAUGCUCGGUAGUAGGGAUGGUGAUGAGAGCCGCACAUCGUGCCUCCUUGAAGGACAGGACGAAAAGAAAAAAUGGACCACUUCUACUCGACGUUGACGUUCACGACACAAAUGAGAGCGAGGUAGGCGCAGGAGACGCUGCAUUCACAAAGCAACGGAGAGCGAGAUAGGUGCAGGAGACACUGCGACGGUCCUUUCCGGCGGCGUGACCCCAAACAGGUGUACAGAACCGUACUUUUGAAACCGGCAAGUGCCUUCAAACCCGCACACGUCAUCAAACAUAGACAACCACAACCACGAAUUAGAGCAGCGCUAGGAGAGAACAUAGGAUUGAAACCAAACGGAACAUAAAGUUAAGCCAACAAAAAUAGUUCUUGUAUCAAGGUAGAAUUAAGAUCAAGGGGGUUAACCACGGGAGCUACUAAAAAUAGAUGUACGUUACGAUUGUACUUUCGAUAAAAAACAACGCACCGAAGCUAUGUUUAUGUUCGCUCGCACAUUCGUCAUCACCAGUCACCGCCUCCGUGCCCCCCCGUCGUCCCCGGGGCCGGGAGGGGUUGUAUUCAGUGAAGAAACGUAAAACCCGUACUUGUCAUUAAAAAAACUUUACAAAAGAAUUAGCCCCGGGGAGAUUCUAGUAUUUAAAUGCUAAGGACGGAGGCGGUGACCAUCACCACACACACACAGAGGUGCCGGGCGCGUUCCAACUUAGUAAGAAACGAAAGCACCACUGUUAGCUUAUCCCCAACCACCGAACGCUAUCCAAGGCCUCUCUACCAACAACGGAAGAGCCCUUUCAAAAAGAAAAUGCUCGCGAUCUCCCUACUCGAUCUAUGGAAAAGAUAUACUGUACGCGAUCUCUUAUUUUUAUAGUAUGGAAAACGCAACCUAGUAGGUUACUUCACCUACGUACGUAUAUAGAGUUCACCAUAAAAAGAACACCUCAUUCAACCUAUGACUAAAGAAGAAGUUAUCUUGGUAGGCGAAAGAAAACUUAGAUCAUAAUCGUUAAUGUAGGGUAUUACAAAAACUUCAGCCCCCAAGAGUUACGGUGGCGGUACCCAAGAUCUCGGGAGCCCGUUCAAGAGAUAGUUCAGUUACAUACGGUUUGAUAGUUGUCAAAACCUUUCGCGGCUUGGGAAAAUUUAAAUUCAAAAAGGUUACCGUUCGAACCUCUUUAACUCUCACUUAACGUUCUUUGGUGGUUUAAACCCCGAAGAGAACGUCUUUUGUUGGACUAGCGAUUAGAAAACAUUUUCGGUGGCGCGUAAGUCAUUUUCAAAACGUCUAACGUGACUUGGACAGUAAACCACGCCAACUCCCACAAAGGCUGUCCACCCGGGGUUAAAACCACUGCACAGGAUUGCCUGCGCGCCUGCCGCGGCAAUGGAAUUCUGGCUGCGCCAGUCCAGCGCUCUCUAUCUGGCGGGCGCGGGUUGGUGUAGAGCGAGCGAGAGAGACGAGAGUGCGAGCGAGCGAGGGGAGGGAGAACGAGGAGAGGAGAGGCCGGCGGCGGCCGGCGGCCUGCGGUACCACAGGACCUCGCUGUCGCUCUCGUGACUCCCGAGGCGGCGCGUCAUGUAGAGGAGGCUACUGAGGGGACAGUUCUAGGGUCGAUGUUAACUACUUGGCAGCAAGCUCCCAGAACAACUGCUGAACUUACACUAAACACUCGUACCCUUAGGUUCCUCCUUUAUACAACGUAAACUCCCCUAUUCGUAACCCUCCCCCAAGUAACGGACACGGUGACUUCCACAACGUUUAACACCUAAUCACGUCACCCAUCUACUCGUAACCGAUGACGUCUUACGAUAAGUAUUCGACACCGAAUACAUACUCCUAUCGAUCCUAUUAUUGUCCUACCGUACGGACCUCGUAAGUACGUGACAUGUGUUAGACUGUGUCGUCUUUUUUCUCAACGUCCUCUGUAUACUCUUCGAACAACUUCUACACUUGUUGGAGAACCUAAUAUUCCUAUCGGUCGGACUCCAUUUGAUCUUCUUACUACAACUCUUGUAAAGUCACUCACACCUUUCGUCGUACUGUUUCCUACGACUCUAGUUUUUUAACUUCCGACAACAACUGGUCAAGUUCGUUUAAGUACAUCGAGUUCGGUGACAGUAAUCCUUAAACUUCAAGUUGGUAGAAUUUCUCUUCCUUUUCAACUCGAAACUAUUCUCCUGAAACCUCUAAACGAUAUGACCGGAUUUCUUUCUCUUCCUACUGGACUUCUUUCUCUUCCUAUUCGACCUAACAACGUAACGACUCGACUACUUUGGCUUCCUCUUCAACUGGUACCUCUUCUCAUGAGAAGGAAGGACGUGACAACUCGAGUUCUGUCGUCCACUAUCGUUGUUCUCAUUCGAAUUGGUCUAAUUCCGAUAAACACUACUCCUGAUUCAACACAACAACGGACUGGUACACACAGUUACUACAGAAAACAUCAUCGAUACCUACUUUCAAACAUUACACAAUUCGAAAUAACACCACUUGAGAUGAUAAAGACAUCGUUACUUGGAACCUAACAUACAACAAACAGUACUUAAUAGUCAAAGUUAAUAGU
rnacentral:rRNA from 1 species